CCUCGCUGACUUCGUUGAUGGGCCCGCACGGCUGCGACGCGGCAAGGUGCGAUUCUGUCGGGUGCGGCACCUCAGCGAGUGCUUCCGCGCGGCAUUUGUGGGCGAGCGCAUCCACGAGCACAUGCGUAUGUGGUGUGACAUUUGUUUGGGCGGAUCAUGCAUGGGCAGACUGCGAUGAGCCUGCUGUGUAGGCCUUGUCAUCCUCUGCGUAUGGCCUCCUUGAGGUUUGUUUUUUCACGUCGCCGUGUUUCUCCCCUUUCGGGGUGGCAUUUCUCUUUUGCCAUGCGUAAGAAGCAAACGUCCUCCCCACCCGCCUCGCCCCUCGCAUGCCACGUACACUACUGCGAAGGAGGCUGUUACAGUCUCACCCGCAGCAGCAUGUCUCUGCAGCCAUUUGCUGUGUGCACUCGCCUGUCCGCGUGCGUCGUGUCCUUUCACGAUGUUUGUGCCUCGAAGCGGGAUGCGCGCAUGCGAUGCCGGUUCUCUUGUUGUUGGGCUCUCCAAUGUCUGUCGGCAACUCUGUGCCCUACGACGCUGCUGCACGUCUACCAGUCGUGCUUGCGGUGAGGUGCACACGCACAAGGAAACGACAUCAAUAGGAAAACGGCAAGAGCUCGAGGGUGCUCCGAAAGCACUCCAGUAAAGAGAGUUGGUCGGACCGGUGUCACUUUUUGCGUGUUUACGGUACAUCGGGUGCGCGCACAUGUUUUCUUUUUUUUUUGACCGCGUCGUUGCUCGCGUGCUUUCCUUUUCCUCUUCGCCUUCGGUCGUGCCUCCGUGCUUGAUGUGCCUUCUCUGUCUCACUCUUACUUCGGAUGCGAAAGCGAAUCAACGCCCAGUGCACGAGGUGCGCGGGCGCUUGUCUCAAGGCCGUGGGCCACGAGUGAGCGGGCUCAUCUUCUCCCUCUUUUUGGUUGGUCCGGCCGGUGGCUGCUCCUUCUGCGCGCUACAUGUUUUCGCUUUUUUUUCCUCCACAACCGUGGUCCCUCCUCCUUGGCGGUGAUGUCUUUCUCCCAGCCAGCUAGCGUAUGCCGCAGUCUCUGGAUGGUGUUGUGUCGACGAAUGCUCCGGUGCUGGCGUAACGACAACCAACGGCAAAGCCUAAACAAAC
rnacentral:misc_RNA from 1 species